rnacentral:rRNA from 1 species
CCUACGGGAGGCAGCAGUGGGGAAUAUUGGACAAUGGGGGGAACCCUGAUCCAGCCAUGCCGCGUGUGUGAAGAAGGCCCUCGGGUUGUAAAGCACUUUCAGUGAGGAAGAACGCCUGGUGGUUAAUACCCAUCAGGAAAGACAUCACUCACAGAAGAAGCACCGGCUAACUCCGUGCCAGCAGCCGCGGUAAUACGGAGGGUGCGAGCGUUAAUCGGAAUUACUGGGCGUAAAGCGCGCGUAGGUGGCUUGAUAAGCCGGUUGCGAAAGCCCCGGGCUCAACCUGGGAACGGCAUCCGGAACUGUCAAGCUAGAGUGCAGGAGAGGAAGGUAGAAUUCCCGGUGUAGCGGUGAAAUGCGUAGAGAUCGGGAGGAAUACCAGUGGCGAAGGCGGCCUUCUGGACUGACACUGACACUGAGGUGCGAAAGCGUGGGUAGCAAACAGGAUUAGAUACCCGGGUAGUC